rnacentral:rRNA from 1 species
UGCAGUCGAGCGAACAGAUAAGGAGCUUGCUCCUUUGACGUUAGCGGCGGACGGGUGAGUAACACGUGGGUAACCUACCUAUAAGACUGGGAUAACUUCGGGAAACCGGAGCUAAUACCGGAUAACAUUUGGAACCGCAUGGUUCUAAAGUGAAAGAUGGUUUUGCUAUCACUUAUAGAUGGACCCGCGCCGUAUUAGCUAGUUGGUAAGGUAACGGCUUACCAAGGCGACGAUACGUAGCCGACCUGAGAGGGUGAUCGGCCACACUGGAACUGAGACACGGUCCAGACUCCUACGGGAGGCAGCAGUAGGGAAUCUUCCGCAAUGGGCGAAAGCCUGACGGAGCAACGCCGCGUGAGUGAUGAAGGGUUUCGGCUCGUAAAACUCUGUUAUUAGGGAAGAACAAAUGUGUAAGUAACUGUGCACGUCUUGACGGUACCUAAUCAGAAAGCCACGGCUAACUACGUGCCAGCAGCCGCGGUAAUACGUAGGUGGCAAGCGUUAUCCGGAAUUAUUGGGCGUAAAGCGCGCGUAGGCGGUUUCUUAAGUCUGAUGUGAAAGCCCACGGCUCAACCGUGGAGGGUCAUUGGAAACUGGGAAACUUGAGUGCAGAAGAGGAAAGUGGAAUUCCAUGUGUAGCGGUGAAAUGCGCAGAGAUAUGGAGGAACACCAGUGGCGAAGGCGACUUUCUGGUCUGUAACUGACGCUGAUGUGCGAAAGCGUGGGGAUCAAACAGGAUUAGAUACCCUGGUAGUCCACGCCGUAAACGAUGAGUGCUAAGUGUUAGGGGGUUUCCGCCCCUUAGUGCUGCAGCUAACGCAUUAAGCACUCCGCCUGGGGAGUACGACCGCAAGGUUGAAACUCAAAGGAAUUGACGGGGACCCGCACAAGCGGUGGAGCAUGUGGUUUAAUUCGAAGCAACGCGAAGAACCUUACCAAAUCUUGACAUCCUUUGAAAACUCUAGAGAUAGAGCCUUCCCCUUCGGGGGACAAAGUGACAGGUGGUGCAUGGUUGUCGUCAGCUCGUGUCGUGAGAUGUUGGGUUAAGUCCCGCAACGAGCGCAACCCUUAAGCUUAGUUGCCAUCAUUAAGUUGGGCACUCUAGGUUGACUGCCGGUGACAAACCGGAGGAAGGUGGGGAUGACGUCAAAUCAUCAUGCCCCUUAUGAUUUGGGCUACACACGUGCUACAAUGGACAAUACAAAGGGCAGCUAAACCGCGAGGUCAUGCAAAUCCCAUAAAGUUGUUCUCAGUUCGGAUUGUAGUCUGCAACUCGACUACAUGAAGCUGGAAUCGCUAGUAAUCGUAGAUCAGCAUGCUACGGUGAAUACGUUCCCGGGUCUUGUACACACCGCCCGUCACACCACGAGAGUUUGUAACACCCGAAGCCGGUGGAGUAACCAUUUA